rnacentral:rRNA from 1 species
UACGUAGGGGGCAAGCGUUGUCCGGAAUCAUUGGGCGUAAAGAGCGUGUAGGCGGUCCGAUAAGUCGGUUGUGAAAGUCAAGGGCUCAACCCUUGAAUGCCGACCGAUACUGUCGGGCUAGAGUCCGGAAGAGGCGAGUGGAAUUCCUGGUGUAGCGGUGAAAUGCGCAGAUAUCAGGAGGAACACCUGUGGUGUAGACAGCUUACUGGACCACUUCUGACGCUGAGACACGAAAGCGUGGGUAGCAAACAGG